rnacentral:rRNA from 1 species
AUGGUACCAGCUUCAGUAUACCUGGGUUUUACUGCGGCAAUCAUUUGGGUUGGGAAGGGCACAUAUCUUACCUCUGCUGCCCUCAGUCAUGCAAGAGACAAUAAUCUACCUGAUGGCCCGGCUGUAGGAAGAUUUAAUGGAGAGUUCUGGGGAGUGUUCGCUAGUACGCAGGUCAUUGGAAAUCUGAUCUCAUUUGUUGUACUGCGAAAUAGAAAGGGUGGCGGAACUGUAACAGGAAAAAAUCUGUUGUUUCUUGUGUUCCUUGGCUGCACGGUUAUCGGCAUUGUAUUAAUGUGUUUACUGUCCAAAAGAGAUGAGAAACAAGAUCAUUCUUCAGCACACUCAUCGUUUGGAGAUAUGUUGAAGUGUAUUGUCGCCCCUCUCAAGGACAAAAGGAUGCUUCUUUUAAUUCCUCUUAUGGCAUAUUCAGGUUUACAACAGGCAUUUGUAUGGGCUGUAUUCACAAAGAGUAUUGUGACACCUGUGCUUGGCCUAUCUGGAAUCGGCGGCGCCAUGGCAGUAUAUGGUGUAGCUGAUGUAGUUUGUUCAUUGGUUGCUGGACGUUUUACUUCUGGGCUUCAGUCAGCUACAUUUGUAGUGUCAGUUGGAGCUAUUCUUCAGGCUGCUGUCCUCUUCUGGCUGCUUCUCUUUUACCACCCAAUGGGCAGAUUACUUGGCGCAGCGGCUCCACUAUUGAUAGGUGCCUUAUGGGGUGUUGGUAACGGAGUCCUGAACACACAGCUAAGUGCUUUACUUGGGCUGCUCUUCGAGGAUGUCAAGGAGGCGGUUUUUGCGCAGUUUAGGGUCUGGCAAUCAGGUGCCAUGGCAGUCAUCUUCUUCCUCAGCCAAGUCAUCACACUGCAAGCCAUGCUUAUCUUGUCCACAUCGCUCGUCGUCUCUUUUGCCUCCUUCCUGACUGUAGAAGACUAUAGGAUGCAACUCAAUUGUAUUCCAUCG